CCCCGAUUCCAAAAUCCUUCUCGGAUCUUGGCCAAGUCCUUUAAAAGGGGGGUCUGCUUCCACUGUGGGAGCUCAGACCACUGAAAGUCUGAAUGUAGAAAUCCAGUCAAGUAUUUUCUUUGCCACAGAUUCAGACAUUUAGUAAGAUCCUGCAGGUUUAACCACUGCAUUCCACAAUGUCCCUUCCCUUUUGGUAUAAC
rnacentral:lncRNA from 1 species